GGCAACGUGGUAUAGGGGUUUGGGUGCUGAACUAGGAUUUUGGAGACCAGGGUUCAAAUUCCUGCUUGGCCA